AUUGAACGCUGGCGGCAGGCCUAACACAUGCAAGUCGAGCGGAUGAAGGGAGCUUGCUCCUGGAUUCAGCGGCGGACGGGUGAGUAAUGCCUAGGAAUCUGCCUGGUAGUGGGGGAUAACGUCCGGAAACGGGCGCUAAUACCGCAUACGUCCUGAGGGAGAAGGUGGGGGAUCUUCGGACCUCACGCUAUCAGAUGAGCCUAGGUCGGAUUAGCUAGUUGGUGGGGUAAAGGCCUACCAAGGCGACGAUCCGUAACUGGUCUGAGAGGAUGAUCAGUCAAACUGGAACUGAGACACGGUCCAGACUCAUACGGGAGGCAGCAGUGGGGAAUAUUGGACAAUGGGCGAAAGCCUGAUCCAGCCAUGCCGCGUGUGUGAAGAAGGUCUUCGGAUUGUAAAGCACUUUAAGUUGGGAGGAAGGGCAGUAAGUUAAUACCUUGCUGUUUUGACGUUACCAACAGAAUAAGCACCGGCUAACUUCGUG
rnacentral:rRNA from 1 species